AAAUUGAAGAGUUUGAUCAUGGCUCAGAUUGAACGCUGGCGGCAGGCCUAACACAUGCAAGUCGAACGGUAACAGGAAGCAGCUUGCUGCUUUGCUGACGAGUGGCGGACGGGUGAGUAAUGUCUGGGAAACUGCCUGAUGGAGGGGGAUAACUACUGGAAACGGUAGCUAAUACCGCAUAACGUCGCAAGACCAAAGAGGGGGACCUUCGGGCCUCUUGCCAUCGGAUGUGCCCAGAUGGGAUUAGCUAGUAGGUGGGGUAAAGGCUCACCUAGGCGACGAUCCCUAGCUGGUCUGAGAGGAUGACCAGCCACACUGGAACUGAGACACGGUCCAGACUCCUACGGGAGGCAGCAGUGGGGA
rnacentral:rRNA from 1 species